UUUCCGUAGGUGAACCUGCGGAAGGAUCAUUCAUAAUAAAGUGUUUUAUGGCUCUUUUUAAAAAUCCAUAUCCACCUUGUGUGCAAUGUUAGAUCUCGUCAAUCUUGGCGAGAUUUUUAUACAUCAACUCAUUCUUUAACUAAUUUGUCUGAAAAGUAUUAUGAAUACUUAAUUCAAAAUACAACUUUUAACAACGGAUCUCUUGGCUCUC
rnacentral:misc_RNA from 1 species